rnacentral:rRNA from 1 species
UACGGGGGGGGUAAGCGUUGUUCGGAAUUACUGGGCGUAAAGGGCUCGUAGGCGGCCAACUAAGUCAGACGUGAAAUCCCUCAGCUUAACUGGGGAACUGCGUCUGAUACUGGAUGGCUUGGAUUUGGGAGAGGGAUGCGGAAUUCCAGGUGUAGCGGUGAAAUGCGUAGAUAUCUGGAGGAAUACCGGUGGCGAAGGCGGCAUCCUGGACCAAUACUGACGCUGAGGCGCGAAAGCUAGGGGAGCAAACGGG